rnacentral:rRNA from 1 species
UACGUAGGGGGCAAGCGUUGUCCGGAAUCAUUGGGCGUAAAGCGCGUGUAGGCGGCCCGGUAAGUCCGCUGUGAGAGUCGGGGGCUCAACCCUCGAAUGCCGGUGGAUACUGUCGGGCUAGAGUGCGGAAGAGGCGAGUGGAAUUCCUGGUGUAGCGGUGAAAUGCGCAGAUAUCAGGAGGAACACCAAUUGCGAAGGCAGCUCGCUGGGACGUAACUGACGCUGAGACGCGAAAGCGUGGGGAGCAAACAGG